UACAGAGGUCUCAAGCGUUGUUCGGAAUCACUGGGCGUAAAGGGUGCGUAGGCCGCACGGUAAGUCAGAGGUGAAAUCCCGGAGCUCAACUUCGGAAUUGCCUCCGAUACUGCCGUGCUUGAGGACUGGAGAGGAGAUUGGAAUUCACAGUGGAGCAGUGAAAUGCGUAGAUAUUGUGAGGAACACUAGUGGCGAAGGCGAAUCUCUGGACAGUUCCUGACGCUGAGGCACGAAGGCCAGGGGAGCAAAC
rnacentral:rRNA from 1 species